rnacentral:snoRNA from 13 species
AUAAACAAAAGAACACCAAUUGUGCUCCUUUCCUCCUGGGGGACCAGUGUGCAAUGGCUGCAAAUAGCUGUUUCCUUGGUAACAUAUGCAGCCUGUUGCUUGUAUGGGUUGCACUAAGAAACCUUAAAAACAGCC